CAACAGGGAUUGCCCUAGUAACGGCGAGUGAAGCGGCAACAGCUCAAAUUUGAAAUCUGGCUCUCGGGCCCGAGUUGUAAUUUGUAGAGGAUGUUUUUGAUGCGGUGCCUUCCGAGUUCCCUGGAACGGGACGCCAUAGAGGGUGAGAGCCCCGUCUGGUUGGAUGCCAAAUCUCUGUAAAACUCCUUCAACGAGUCGAGUAGUUUGGGAAUGCUGCUCUAAAUGGGAGGUAUAUGUCUUCUAAAGCUAAAUACCGGCCAGAGACCGAUAGCGCACAAGUAGAGUGAUCGAAAGAUGAAAAGCACUUUGAAAAGAGAGUUAAAAAGUACGUGAAAUUGUUGAAAGGGAAGCGUUUGUGACCAGACUUGGACUUGGUUAAUCAUCUGGGGUUCUCCCCAGUGCACUUCUCCAGUUCAGGCCAGCAUCAGUUUUCGCCGGGGGAUAAAGGCUUUGGGAAUGUGGCUCCCCUCGGGGAGUGUUAUAGCCCAUUGUGUAAUACCCUGGCGGGGACUGAGGUUCGCGCAUCUGCAAGGAUGCUGGCGUAAUGGUCAUCAACGACCCGUCUUGAAACACGGACCAAGGAGUCGUCUUCGUAUGCGAGUGUUCGGGUGUCAAACCCCUACGCGUAAUGAAAGUGAACGCAGGUGAGAGCUUCGGCGCAUCAUCGACCGAUCCUGAUGUUCUCGGAUGGAUUUGAGUAAGAGCAUACGGGGCCGGACCCGAAAGAAGGUGAACUAUGCCUGUAUAGGGUGAAGCCAGAGGAAACUCUGGUGGAGGCUCGCAGCGGUUCUGACGUGCAAAUCGAUCGUCAAAUAUGGGCAUGGGGGCGAAAGACUAAUCGAAC
rnacentral:rRNA from 1 species